CGGCGCCCCAAGUGGCAAUCAGUAUUAUUGGGCCUAAAGCGUUCGUAGCCGGAUGACCAAAUCUUUUGUGAAAUCGCUUGGCUUAACCAAGUGGCGUGCAGAAGACACUAGUCAUCUAGGGACCGGGAGGAGUUAGAAGUAUUCUGGGGGGAGCGGUAAAAUGUUAUAAUCCUCGGAGGACUACCUAUGGCGAAGGCAUCUAACUAGAACGGAUCCGACGGUGAGGAACGAAGGCCAGGGGAGCAAACCGGAUUAGAUACCCGAGUAGUCC
rnacentral:rRNA from 1 species